UGUUGUUCUCUAGGAAAGAGGGGAACAGUUAUGCUAUGAGCAUAGAUCAUACCUAGAACUACUUAUUUGGAACUCCCAAAUGUAUUCUGCUCUGUUCUCUUAGGACAAAUUAAAAUGAAGUGCAGUAAACCACAGGGUAACCCACUGUUUAAAUGGACUCUGGCAGCUGUAUGUAAGAUAAGGCAUGAAGGCUUGGAUAACUAGCAAAAAAUGA